UACGGGGGGGGGCAAGCGUUGUUCGGAAUUACUGGGCGUAAAGGGCGCGUAGGCGGCCGCCUAAGUCAGACGUGAAAUCCCUCGGCUCAACCCCGGAAUUGCGCCCGAGACUGCGGGGCUUGAAUGCGGGAGAGGGAAGCGGAAUUCCGUGGUGUAGAGGUGAAAUUCGUAGAUAUCAGGAGGAACACCGGUGGCGAAAGCGGCUUCCUGGACCGACACUGACGCUGGAGGCGCGGAAAGCCUAGGGGAGCAAACGGG
rnacentral:rRNA from 1 species